rnacentral:rRNA from 1 species
UAGAGCUAAUACAUGCCUAAAGACCCGACGCAAGAAGGGUUGUAUUUAUUAGUUGCAAACCAUCAGCCGCAAGGCUAAUGUGAUGAUUCAUAAUAACUUAACGGAGCCGAGCCCAGCUUGGCUAGAUCAUUUAAGUUUCUGCCCUAUCACUUUGAUGGUAGUAUAUAGGACUACCAUGAGGAUAACGGGUACGGGGAAUUGGGGUUUGAUACCGGAGAGGGAGCCUGAGAAACGGCUACCACUUCUAAGGAAGGCAGCAGGCGCGUAAAUUACCCAAUGCCAAUUCGGCGAGGUAGUGACAAGAAAUAAUAACCCGGGGUCUCACGACUUUACGGGAUUAAAAUGAGCACAAUUUAAAAAUCUUAACGAGGAUCAAUUGGAGGGCAAGUCUGGUGCCAGCAGCCGCGGUAAUUCCAGCUCCAAAAGCGUAUAUUAAUGUUGUUGCAGUUAAAAAGCUCGUAGUCGAUCAUCUUAUCGCGUGGAAUGUCGGCCUAGCCACUAUUCAUGCGGUAAUCCAUCCGAACGCCUUGUCGUCCUUAAUCAGUCGACUUGGUUCCUCGGAUACUUUACUGAGAAAAAAUUAGAGUGUUCAAAGCAGGCAAUUGCAGAGAAUACUACAGCUUGGAAUAAUAGAAUAAGACUAAAGUCUUUUUUGUUGGUUAUGAGGCUUUAGUAAUGGUUAAUAGGAACAGUCGGGGGCAUUAGUAUUUAAUUGUCAGAGGUGAAAUUCUUGGAUUUAUUAAAGACUAACUUAUGCGAAAGCAUUUGCCAAGGAUGUUUUCAAUUGAUCAAGAACGAAAGUUAGGGGAUCAAAGACGAUCAGAUACCGUCCUAGUCUUAACUAUAAACGAUUCCGACUAAGGAUCGGAGGGGUAACAUCAGCCCCUUCGGCACUUUAUGAGAAAUCAAAGUCUUUGGGUUCCGGGGGAAGUAUGGACACAAGUCUGAAACUUAAAGGAAUUGACGGAAGGGCACACCAGGAGUGGAGCCUGCGGCUUAAUUUGACCCAACACGGGGAAACUUACCAGGUCAAGACACGGGUGGGAUUGACAGGUUUGAGAGCUCUUUCUUGAUUCUGUGGGUGGUGGUGCAUGGCCGUUCUUAGUUGGUGGAGUGAUUUGUCUGGUUAAUUCCGUUAACGAACGAGACCUUAACCUGCUAAACUAGGAGUGCCUUUCCUAAGGCAUAUUCUUCUUAGAGGGACUAUGCAUUCAAGUGCAUGGAAGUUUGAGGCAAUAACAGGUCUGUGAUGCCCCUAGACGUCCUGGGCCGCACGCGCGCUACAAUGACACAUUCAACAGUUUCUUCCUGCGCUGAUAAGCGCUGGGUAAUCUUUUUAGUAUGUGUCGUGUUGGGGAUCGUCCUUUGCAAUUAUAGGACUUGAACCAGGAAUUCCUAGUAUAGGUACGUCAUCAACGUGCCUAGAUUAUGUCCCUGCCCUUUGUACACACCGCCCGUCGCUCCGACCGAUUUGGGUGAUUCGGCGAGCCUUCUGGACUAGGUUAGUUUACUAAUCUGGGAAGUUAUGUAAGCCAUAUCACCUAGAGGAUGGAGAAGUCGUAACAAGGUU